rnacentral:rRNA from 1 species
UACCAGCACCCCGAGUGGUCGGGACGAUUAUUGGGCCUAAAGCAUCCGUAGCCGGUCCUGCAAGUCUUCCGUUAGAUCCAGCUGCUCAACAGAUGGGCUGCGGGGGAUACUACAGGGCUAGGAGGCGGGAGAGGCAAGCGGUACUUUAUGGGUAGGGGUAAAAUCCGUUGAUCCAUAGAAGACCACCAGUGGCGAAGGCGGCUUGCCAGAACGCGCUCGACGGUGAGGGAUGAAAGCUGGGGGAGCAAACCGG